rnacentral:siRNA from 1 species
AGCGUUAACAAGGUUGAAUGAUG